rnacentral:lncRNA from 1 species
GGGAUGAGAAGUAGUAGGAUUGGUUCUCAUAAUUAAAAAAAGGAAUUUAUCGAAAUUUUUCUUUUAUUCUUGUUGAAUAAUGCCAAAUCAACACCAAAAAAAUAUCCAAAAAUCCAACAAAAGUCAAAAGUAAAUGAAUUAGUUAAUUCAAUAAGAGAGAAAAGGGGACCAGCACUUGAUUCCGUUGCCCAAACGAAUCCCAUUCAAUCUUUUACUCAUCCCAUGAGUCCGUCGGAAAGUUCAAUCAAUCUUUUUUUCAUAUCCAUUUCGCCUUUUGUGAAGGAUCCCUCCCCCCAUUCUAUGCUGACCCGGGCCGGGGCUCUUUUUUUGGGAAGCCCGUUCCCACCGCGCUCACGGCCCGGCUGGCCUGCCAGCGGUAGUGGGAAUUCUCCCGUUCCCUGGUCAAAAAAGGGUUGAGUCGUUAGAGCACAUAUCUCCGUGAUCCCUUCCACAGCUAAACGUAGAUCUCUAUCUUGUAGAGGAGUGUAGAGUAAAGAUAUACCGGAGUGGAGUGCAAGAAGGUUAUAGGGGAGUGUGGCGCCCGCUUGCCCGCCUUUCUUCUCGGUUGAAAAACAAAACUGUUGCUUGCUUUGUUCAUUCAAGUAGUGGUUUAGCCCUCGAAUCUGGGAUUGAAGGAUUUGCUAAUGCCCGACCCUUCUCGACUAGAAACUCUUCCGCUCCUCCGGACCUUUGGAAAACCAAGAAGUAGACUGCAGUGUCCCGCUCGAGUACGAUGUCUGUUUAAAUUCUUUCUUUGAUUUGCAAAAGUAGUAAGUCUACUCUUCUUCCACCUCUCCUCAGAUGUCUACAACAGGAAUUGACAGACCGCACUCAGAGACCAUUUGGAAAGAAUAGCAGCACUCUCCAAACUCUAUAGGUUGCAUUAGCUAUACGAGCGAAUUGGUUGUUUCGAGCACGUAGCAAUGCGAGAUAGAAGAUUAUAGCGAAAGAGUUAGCUCAACCUAUCUACUACUACCCUUGGAAAGGGGGUGUGCGUGGUAUACCUGUUACGACUCCCCUCGAACUGAGCCAUUUUCAUGAUUUUGCAAUCAAAGAAAGUUCCAUACUUUUUUAUUCCCAGUAUGGAGCCAACGUCGCUUCGCUUUCGCAGGACAAUUUCCUUCUGGAAAAAUAUCCAGUGGCAUAUCCCAUCUAGCUCUGGGAAUCAAACCACAACCAGCGCCUUCUUGUCCGAUGAAGUUCAAGUCUCUAACAUGUUCUUCGCUUAUCCAUUUAGCCCGCCCGCCCAGACGCGGCGCCCUUUCGCAUUAUCAUCUACCGCCCUUUCUUUCCUCCCGUCCCUUCAC